UUAAGUGAAAAAGUGAGUGACUGGCUCAAUGAGUCAGUGAGUGAGUCAGCUAGUCAGUCAGUGAGAUUUGAAUGAGUGAGUGAGUCAAUGAGAGUGUGCGUGAGUUUGUGUGUGUGUGAUAAGUGUGUCAGUGAUUGAAUCAGUGAGUCGGUGAGAGUAUAAUUGAUGAGCGAGCGAGUGAGUGAGUGAAUGAGUGUGUGAAUAAACAAGUCAGUGAAAGAAUCAGUGAGAGUGUAAUUUAGUGAGUGAGUAAGAGAGUGAUUGAAUGAGUGAGUGGGUUGUGACAUUGAUUGAAUCAGUGAGUCGGUGAGAGUGUAAUUGAGUGAAUGAGUGUGUGAGUUUGUGAGUGAGUGAGUCAAUAAUACUGUUAGUGAGUAAGAGAGUGAGCGAGAGUGUGAGUAUAUGUGUGAUAAGUGGGUCAGUGAUUGAAUCAGUGAGUCAGUCAGAGUGUAAUUGAGUAAGUGAGUCAAUAGGAGUGUGAGUGAAUGAGUGAGUGAGUGAGUGAGUGAGUGAGUGAGUGAGUGAGUGAGUGAGUGAGAGUGUAAUUGAGUGAGUGAGUGAGUGUGUGAGUUUGUGAGUGAGUGAGUCAAUAACACUGUGAGUGAGUAAGAGAGUGAGUGAGAGUGUGAGUGAGUGUGUGAUAAGUGGGUCAGUGAUUGAAUCAGUGAGUCAGUCAGAGUGUAAUUGAGUGAGUGAGUCAUUAAGAGUGUGAGUGAAUGAGUGAGUGAGUGUGUGAAUCAGUCAGGCAGUGAGAGGGUGAUGAGUGAAUGGUUGAGUGAGUGUGUCCAUUAUACGUAUACAGGGUGAGCUUACUGUGAGAAGUGUCCC